UACGUAGGGGGCUAGCGUUGUUCGGAAUUACUGGGCGUAAAGGGCUCGUAGGUGGCCAACUAAGUCAGACGUGAAAUCCCUCGGCUUAACCGGGGAACUGCGUCUGAUACUGGAUGGCUUGAGUUCGGGAGAGGGAUGCGGAAUUCCAGGUGUAGCGGUGAAAUGCGUAGAUAUCUGGAGGAACACCGGUGGCGAAGGCGGCAUCCUGGACCGAUACUGACACUGAGGAGCGAGAGCCAGGGGAGCAAACGGG
rnacentral:rRNA from 1 species